rnacentral:lncRNA from 1 species
CCCGGAAUGGCCUGGCCUGCACGAGGAUUCUCUCUAUUGUCAGGAGCAGGAAAAGAUCUGAAUUUCCCAUGAAAUGCCAGUGUCAGCAUAACAUGGUGGUACUACACAGUGCCACUCUAUCAGGCAUAUCCUGGGCCUCUCACAAAAAUAUUAUUUUAAAAAGAUAUUCAGAAUGCUUCUGGUGCCAAGUAGGUGCAGCGUGGAUACUCUGUGAUGAUGAUGAACAGCCUUCUAAGUGCGUGUACUGAGUUUAAGAAACAUAACACCACAGCACGUAAAAUCCCGUGCCAGAUCUCACACAGCCGCCAAAUCACAUCUGCCUCUAUCUCUCUGGAUGAUCCUUCUCCAAAAUCAAGGCCUGGCACCUUGCCCUGAACAUCAGCCAACUGGACAUUAGCAGACCAGGACGGAGAGGGAAAUCCAGUUAUGUUCCCCUAUAAAUCUCAACCAAAGCCAAA